AUGCCUGUAAUCCCAGCUACUCAGGAGGCUGAGGCAGGAGAAUUGCUUGAACCUAGAAGGCAGAGGUUGCAGUGAGUCGAGAUUCAGCCACUGCACUCCAGCUUUGGCGACAGAGCAAGACUACAUCUAGGCGGUGUCGGGGGGAAGAAGUAAAAUGGACAGCAGCAAACCACAGAUAAUUUACAGAGGGCACUAAAGCUGAUCCCCUGGGAGCUUCAGAAUUUAAUGACUUCGCCUGACGAUUUCCUAUUCUUUUCCACAAUGUGCUAAGUCAAAUUAUGGCCAAAUUACCAAUCGCAUGGUAAUUCAGCUUCUAAAUAUAUUUUGCAGAGUGUUUCCAAAAGUUAAAAAAAAAAAAAAAACUUC
rnacentral:lncRNA from 1 species